CCUCGAGCGCGCCGCCCGCGCCCAGCGCCCCACGCCCCGCGCCCCGGGCCGUGCAGCCAGCCCUUACCUUGCAGCGCCCGGCUGUCUCCCGAUCGCUAAAGCUACUUAUCCCGGGAAAGCUCGCGCGGGACCCGGGAACGAACCCACAGACAAAAAGUGAAACUUCGGCAGGGCUGGAGCGGCUGCUGGUUGGUGCCUUUCCCCCUCCUUCCUCCCCACCGUCCCCACCCCCUCCCCUUGGUCUCCCGUGCGGUGCCCUGAGCGCUGGAGGCUGACGUCAGGGGCCUGAAUUCCUGACUUUGCCUGCACGCAUUUGUCCAUGUAAGGUAUGGGAAGGCGUGUGCCCGCGAAGCCGCCGCGCAGAGCUCGCCUGGCGGGGGAGGGGAAACCCGCAGCCGGCAGUGGCUUUGCCAAAAGGUGGGCGCACUGAGGGCAUUGCAUUUCCUGGGAGGAAGAGGAGGAGACGCGGGAAUGCAGGGAGCUUGCAAAGGAGGAAGAGAAAGAGGGAGAUGUGGAGACUUUGCCCCUGCUAGAGGAAGAGGAAGGAGACGUAGGAGGAAGCGGCCGCGUCAGGGGGCUCCUGGAAAAUGGAAAAGCCUGCGUCUACUAUUAAGGCGUCAAAUUAGGGCACUGAGCUUGAGUGGAAGAGAUCCAGCCAUGAAAUCCCCUUCCAAGAUUUUCCUCGUGAGCCCCGCCCUGGAUUCCCAGCAAGACUCAAAACUUACAAGGUGUCAGAGCUGGCAAAGACCAACUUCCAACCCGUCCGCUUGGCACGUGAGGAAACUGAAGCUCUCGGAAGAGAAAUGACUUGUACAGGGUCGUCACUCAGCAGAUCGAGGAGCGGGCCCAGGCGCUCUGCCUCCCACUUGGGUUCCCGCCUCCAGGAAGGGCCCUGGCUCCCUUUUAGCCCUGAGCCUUGAAGCAGGUUAGAUGCCCGCGAGCUGUGCGGACCACCCAGUGAUUUCUACUGCUCUUGGCCCAGAGCCAGUUCCUGGAAGGUCCUGGUUGACAGCGAGCCCUGAAUAUCAAUGACAAUCAGUUGCUUCAGGGCAACUUCCUCUGUCCUGUGCUCAAAUAAAUGAAUCCCUGGAGUUUAACGUUUACUUCUGAGCCCCGCCCAGAAAGCUUGCUCUGUGCUUAUAGCUUCAAAAAAGUCUGCGAACGAGAUGAACUGGUUUGAAUACAGACAAGCCUGUCAUUGGAAGUUUUGAGUUGGAUUUUUCUUUCCCCUCUGACAUCUGUAAGGGUGAACGACGAUGAGAACCACCACUUAACUGUGUUAGGGGAUUAUGACGCGCAGCAGCCAUGGCCAGGAAAGCAUUCCAUACCCUGAGACUUCCUUUCCUUGCACUUCUCUCCUAUUAAUAUCUAAAGUAAUCCCUCACGUUAGCACAUAAUGAAAGCAGUCUCUCACCCGGCUAUUGCAUCUUCAGGUGAGUUAGAUAGGACAGAGCGUAGUCCCCCCUUUACACCUCAGACAAAAACUUAAGAAACGUUACUCGCCCAACACAAAACAACUGACUGACCAAGCACCUGUCUUCCCCUCCUCCCAUCCAGGUCUCCUGACUAAUCCCUUCAUCUUUCCAUACCUGGCCCUGACCUCUAGCAGGACCUAAUUCCAUUCAUAACUGUUGAGAGUACACCAUGAGCUACUGAUUCAUAAAAACUCCAAAAAGUGGUUCUUCUGAGGAUGGACUUUAGUGGGAUUCUUUUGACCAGGAAUUAAGGAAAUAAUGUAAAAACACAUGUUAUUGGAUUUAUUAAGCACCUUCCUUGUGCUUAAUAAGUGUUUGAAUUCAGACAUUUCAGGGGUAAGACUACUUAACCUCUGUGUUCCUCUCAACUAUCUAAUGUACACAUACAAAAAUAUGAACAUGGCUGGGCGCGGUGGCUUACACCUGUAAUUCCAGCACUUUGGGACGCCGAGGCGGGCAAAUCACCUGAGGUCAGGAGCUCGAGCCAGCCUGGCCAACAUGGCAAAACCCCAUCUCUACCAAAAAUACAAAAAACUAGCUGGGCGUGGCGGCGAGCGCCUGUAAUCCCAGGUAUUCCGGAAGCUGAGGCAGGAGAAUUGCCUGAACCCGGGAGGCAAAGGUUUUAGUGAGCCGAGAUUGCGCCACUGCACUCCAGCCUGGGGGACAGAGCAAGACUGUUGUCAAAAAAAAAAAAUAUAUAUAUAUACAAACACAUAUAUAUACACAUAUAUAUACAUAUAUACACAUAUAUAUACAUAUAUAUACACAUAUAUAUACAUAUAUAUAUACACACACACAUAUAUAUAUACACACAUACAUAUAUAUAUAUGAAGGCAGUAACAGAGAGAUAAGGUCGAGAAUAACCACCCAUUCCACAGACUAAUAAAGAAUUUAUCUCUUUGCAACUAACAUAGUUUGAAAUGGGAGAUACGGGCUCUUGGAGAGAGUUUUUUCUGGGGUUCUGAAAAGGUCAGAUCCUAUCAAAACACAAUCCACUCACUCAAACAUUUCAGCGUACUCACAUUCUGAGUACUACUGUUUAGUAUGAAAAGAAUUCCAGUGUUACAUGAAGUAAAAAUGGAUUAUCUCAAUCCUCAUGGAAUAUAACGGGACUUGACCAGCAUUUCCUUUUUUUUUUUCCUUCAGUAACUCACUUAUAAGGAAUAAUAGGGUCCUAAUGAGGAUUAAGAUUUAAUAAGGUGUAAUUAGAGUUGUUCAUUUCUUCCAUCAUAUACAUUAUAAGAGUACUGUGCCGGAUCCAGAAAUGCUACUAAUUAUGUUGAAACUGUUGUAUGGGUGUGUUGGGGAAGUCACUGUGUUUCUCCUCCUGAAAUGUUUAUGAAUUGCUCAGGUGAGCAUGGUGAGCAUGGUGUUAGCAUGAACAUCAUAUAAAGUUAACUACAAAAGAAAAAAAAAAAAAAA
rnacentral:lncRNA from 1 species